rnacentral:rRNA from 1 species
UGCAAGUCGAGCGGAGAUGAGGUGCUUGCACCUUAUCUUAGCGGCGGACGGGUGAGUAAUGCUUAGGAAUCUGCCUAUUAGUGGGGGACAACAUUCCGAAAGGAAUGCUAAUACCGCAUACGUCCUACGGGAGAAAGCAGGGGAUCUUCGGACCUUGCGCUAAUAGAUGAGCCUAAGUCGGAUUAGCUAGUUGGUGGGGUAAAGGCCUACCAAGGCGACGAUCUGUAGCGGGUCUGAGAGGAUGAUCCGCCACACUGGGACUGAGACACGGCCCAGACUCCUACGGGAGGCAGCAGUGGGGAAUAUUGGACAAUGGGGGGAACCCUGAUCCAGCCAUGCCGCGUGUGUGAAGAAGGCCUUAUGGUUGUAAAGCACUUUAAGCGAGGAGGAGGCUACUGAGACUAAUACUCUUGGAUAGUGGACGUUACUCGCAGAAUAAGCACCGGCUAACUCUGUGCCAGCA